GAUGAACGCUAGCUACAGGCUUAACACAUGCAAGUCGCGGGGCAGCAUGGGGGUUGCUUGCAACCCCUGAUGGCGACCGGCGCACGGGUGAGUAACGCGUAUCCAACCUGCCCUUCACCACGGGAUAACCCGGCGAAAGUCGGACUAAUACCGUAUGUUGUCCAUUGACGGCAUCCGAUUUGGACGAAAUGCUUGGCGGUGAAAGGAUGGGGAUGCGUCCGAUUAGCUUGACGGCGGGGUAACGGCCCACCGUGGCUACGAUCGGUAGGGGUUCUGAGAGGAAGGUCCCCCACACUGGAACUGAGACACGGUCCAGACUCCUACGGGAGGCAGCAGUGAGGAAUAUUGGUCAAUGGGCGUAAGCCUGAACCAGCCAAGUAGCGUGCAGGAUGACGGCCCUAUGGGUUGUAAACUGCUUUUAUGCGGGGAUAAAGUGGCCCACGUGUGGGCUUUUGCAGGUACCGCAUGAAUAAGGACCGGCUAAUUCCGUG
rnacentral:rRNA from 1 species